CAGCAGCCGCGGGAAUACGGAGGGUGCAAGCGUUAUCCGGAUUUAUUGGGUUUAAAGGGUCCGUAGGCGGAUCUGUAAGUCAGUGGUGAAAUCUCACAGCUUAACUGUGAAACUGCCAUUGAUACUGCAGGUCUUGAGUAAAUUUGAAGUGGCUGGAAUAAGUAGUGUAGCGGUGAAAUGCAUAGAUAUUACUUAGAACACCAAUUGCGAAGGCAGGUCACUAAGAUUUAACUGACGCUGAUGGACGAAAGCGUGGGGAGCGAACAGGAUUAGAUACCCCAGUAGUCCCUGUCUCUUAUAC
rnacentral:rRNA from 1 species